rnacentral:misc_RNA from 1 species
UCCGUAAAGGUGGAUGAGUGGUGUUUGGUUUGUCACGUGUGGUUGGCUGCGGCGUUUGCAACAACUUCCAUGCUUUCAGACCUCUUCAGUUGUGCGGCAAGGCUUGUAUCGCCUUGCCGUAUUGCGGGUUUUCUGUGUUGAAUACCUAAUCAAUGGUAUCGGUUGGAUUGAUCAAUGUUUCAUUUCGUCNGUCGUCGCAUUUGCGGCGUGAGACGAACCUUGAUGCGGUCUCUUCGGUCCACCUCGGUGAAGCACAUGCUUUGACGUUGUGGCACAUUGAGCAUUGCUUGGUCUCUUGUAUACGGAACAUAUAGUGGGCAUGGAUCUAACGAUUCUUCUUUGCCCUCAUAUUAGCGUAACGCUUCUCUUACACGACUUGCUCCACGUUUUAGCUCGUACGGACGUGGUU